UCUCUCUCCUCCACGUGGCACCUCUCUCUAUAUAUAUUCUCCCACAUCCCUAUAUUUUUCAUUUUUCCCUCUCUCUAUCCCCCAAAUUUUCAGGUUUUGGUUUCAUUACGGAAAUUUCAAUUUUUUUUCUCAGCUCGGAAUAGCUAAGUGAGUUUUGAGGUUUCGGUUUUCACCAUGAGUGCUGGUGCUACCAACCAGUUGAUAUCUGUUAGUCCUCCGGAGCUCAAAUUCCAAUGUAACCUCUCUCUCUCUCUCUCUUUCAUUGUCCAUUUGUCGUUAAGAUGAUUUGAAUGUACAAGAAUUUCUAUUUACAGAUCUUAUUGUGUGGGUUUGCGAUUUAAGAUGUGUAAUUAGACGAAACGAACUAGAAAAGGGCGAAAAGAUUUUGCUUUCGGUUGUAGUUUCUCAACAUUGACCAGAAAAUGAGUUUUUUGGACAACUUAUGAGAAAAUCUUUUCAAACAUAGUUUUCACCAAUUUUUGUGUUGUAGUUUGAUUGGGAACGGAGUUUAAAACCACUCUCAAACUGAUAAAAGAAU